rnacentral:lncRNA from 1 species
GCAUUUUUAUGAAUGUAAUAAAGGAUUUGUGUUUCUUGCAGAUGGAAAUGAUUUUCUGCCCCUCGUGGUAGCGAGUUUUAAAAGUAAAAAGUUUUCGGGUGGAAAACAGUUUUUAAAAGGUUUUCUCGUGGUUUUCGUGACUAGUAUUUCAAAACGAGUUUCCGGGUAGGAAACAUUUUAAACUAAUAGUUGUGAAUUUAUGGAUAAACUCUGGAUGUGAAUGGUGCACGAAUGUAUGAAUGUAUGAGAUGUGAAUGGUGCAUGAAUGUAUGAAUGUAUGUAUAUUCAUAAGUGGUGGUUGUAUCCUGUUUUAUGUAUCUUGUACUUGUGCGACGUCGUGCAAAUACAGGGGAGACUCU